GACUGUACAAAGGUAGCAUAAUAGUUUGUCUCUUAAUUAGAGUCUGGAAUGAAUGGUUAGAUGAGAAAUUAGCUUUCUUUAUUUUAGAUAAAAAAUUUAACUUUUAAGUCAAAAGGCUUAGAUUUUAUUGGAGGACGAGAAGACCCUAUAGAACUUUAUAUUUAAAUAUAAAAAAAAGAUUUUGUUAAUUAUUUAUUUUUUUAUAUUUAUAUAUUUUGUUGGGGUGACAAAAAAAAAUUAAUAUCUUUUUUUACUUUAUUCAUUAAUUUAUGAUAAUUUUAUCCUAUAUUAUGGAAAUAAGAUUAAGUUACCUUAGGGAUAACAGCGUUAUUACUUUGGAGAGUUCAUAUUGAUGAAGUAGUUUGCGACCUCGAUGUUGGAUUAAAAUUAGUUUCAGGGGUAGAAGAUUGUUUUCUAGGUCUGUUCGACCUUUAAAAUUUUACA
rnacentral:rRNA from 1 species